rnacentral:lncRNA from 1 species
AAUUGUUCUGUCUAACUCUUUGAAGAAUUGGAUUGGUAUUUUGAUGGGGAUUGCAUUGAAUCUGUAGAUUGCUUUUGGUAAAAUGGCCAUUUUUACUAUAUUAAUCCUGCCAAUCCAUGAGCAUGGGAGAUCUUUCCAUCUUCUGAGGUCUUCUUCAAUUUCUUUCCUCAGUGUCUUGAAGUUCUUAUUGUACAGAUCUUUUACUUGCUUGGUUAAAGUCACACCGAGGUACUUUAUAUUAUUUGGGUCUAUUAUGAAGGGUGUCGUUUCCCUAAUUUCUUUCUCGGCUUGUUUCUCUUUUGUAUAGAGGAAGGCAACUGAUUUAUUUGAGUUAAUUUUAUACCCAGCCACUUUGCUGAAGUUGUUUUUCAGCUUUAGUAGUUCUCUGGUGGAACUUUUGGGAUCACUUAAAUAUACUAUCAUGUCGUCUGCAAAUAGUGAUAUUUUGACCUCUUCUUUUCCGAUCUGUAUCCCCUUGAUCUCCUUUUGUUGUCUGAUUUCUCUGGCUAGAACUUCAAGAACUAUAUUGAAUAAGUAGGGAGAGAGUGGGCAGCCUUGUCUAGUCCCUGAUUUUAGUGGGAUUACUUCAAGUUUCUCUCCAUUUAGUUUAAUGUUAGCAACUGGUUUGCUGUAUAUGGCUUUUACUAUGUUUAGGUAUGGGCCUUGAAUACCUAUUCUUUCCAGGACUUUUAUCAUGAAGGGGUGUUGAAUUUUGUCAAAUGCUUUCUCAUCAUCUAAUGAAAUGAUCAUGU